rnacentral:rRNA from 1 species
GAUGAACGCUGGCGGCGUGCCUAAUACAUGCAAGUCGAGCGAACAGACGAGGAGCUUGCUCCUCUUACGUUAGCGGCGGACGGGUGAGUCACACGUGGAUAACCUACCUAUAAGACUGGGAUAACUUCGGGAAACCUGAGCUAAUACCGGAUCAUAUAUUGAACCUCAUGGUUCUACAGUGAAAGACGGUUUUGCUGUCACUUAUAGAGGGAUCCUCGCCGCAUUAGCUAGUUGGUAAGGUAACGGCCUACCAAGGCUACGAUGCGUAGCCGACCUGAGAGGGUGAUCGGCCACACUGGAACUGAGACACGGUCCAGACUCCUACGGGAGGCAGCAGUAGGGAAUCUUCCGCAAUGGGCGAAAGCCUGACGGAGCAACGCCGCGUGAGUGAUGAAGGUCUUCGGAUCGUAAAACUCUGUUAUUAGGGAAGAACAAAUGUGUAAGUAACUAUGCACGUCUUGACGGUACCUAAUCAGAAAGCCACGGCUAACUACGUG